rfam:Gasterosteus aculeatus cont1.011533, whole genome shotgun sequence.
CCAAAGGCUCUUCUAAGAGCCACCCACCUCUUCUAAAGACAGUUU